rnacentral:lncRNA from 1 species
GCUGAGCACUCCUUUUCUACUUUUUCAGGGAAGUUGAGGCCAGUGCCUGUGUGAAGAUGUGCCUCGAUGCCAGGCCUGGACCUGGGUGGGCCCUCUGGCCUGGCUACCUGCUGUAACACCCACCAUGAAUCCAGGAGAUGGAGGCUCUCCCGUCCUGCUCUUCCUCAGAGAUAAGAAACAUGUUCAGAAGGAAGCGAGUCUCUGUGUGGCUCUGGGCACCCAAGCAUGGGGCUUCUCUGGAAGGGCAGGGAUGGCACUCUGCCUGGUGGUAGGCCAAGGGCGUGGGAAUGUAGCCCUUGCAGGGAGGGUGGGCCCUCUCCCCCACCUGGCCCUUGGGCUGAGGUGUUCUUACUAGUGGAGGGAGGCUUGAGGAACCGGUUGGGGAGAGCAAGAGCAUCUCUAGCUACCCUCCUGAGGAGGGGAGCCCUUUUAGGGCAUGUAUAUAAUGUUCCUAGGUGUACAUAAAAGUCCUUACCCUGUUAGGGGUCUGGGCUAUAUUUAUGGCUGGCAGAGGCCAGUGUGGAAGGGCUGGGUUCGGCUCAUCUGCCUGACACCAGGCACUCCCUGCCCACUGAUUCUCAACAUGUUCCUCUCCCUAAAUCCUAUUUAAGAACUUUUGGAAGCUUAGCCAUUUUUACUUAUUAAAAUGAACGUCUUUUUACACAAGCAUAA